UAAUUAGUGACGCGCUGAAUGGAUUAA
rnacentral:sRNA from 1 species